CACGUAGGGCGCAAGCGUUGUCCGGAAUUAUUGGGCGUAAAGAGCUCGUAGGCGGUCUGUUGCGUCCGCUGUGAAAACUCGGGGCUUAACCCCGAGCCUGCAGUGGAUACGGGCAGACUAGAGGUAGGUAGGGGAGAAUGGAAUUCCCGGUGUAGCGGUGAAAUGCGUAGAGAUCGGGAGGAACACCAGCGGCGAAGGCGGCGACCUGGACAGUAACUGACACUCAACUACGAAAGCGUGGGGAGCAAACAGG
rnacentral:rRNA from 1 species